CCAACUUGCUUUCACAGACCAGUGACCUUUUCUAUUUCCUAGUAAACAAACUUCAUGAGUACUUGCCGGAGUCUAGGGAUAAGAAUGCACUUCAAAAUCAAAGCCAAAGGGUUGAUGAGCUGGUGGCAUGCAUUGAAAUUAUACAGACCCUAGUAUUGAUGUUCAGAGAAACAGAAACUGAGUCCUCACGCCUGAACACAUUGGCAGCUAAGAAUUACAGAAGCUUAUUCUGGAGUAUACAAAUACCGCUACAGCACUUUUAUAUGAGAUACUUCUUGUCUUUCAGCAGGUACAAUUUUUAAAAAUUAUAUUUUAAAAUAUUUUAUGUAACUAUAAAUUACAUGACUAUUAUAUUAUGAUAUAUGUAUAUUAUGUGAUUAUGUUGUAUAAUUAAUAAUGUACCAAAAAUGCUUGUAUUUGAGAUGGUCUCCAAAACUGGUUGAUUUCAAUGAUAUGAACUUUGCUCUUAAGUGCUCAUCUAGUUUAUUUUCCAAAACUGAUUUUAAGGAUUCAAUUAAUCAGGAUAAAAAUUUAUUUAAGAAUGAGUAUCCUUUUAUAUACAACUUGAACUUUAUGAAUAUAACUUGUUUAUUUCCUUGAGUCUUUUAGGGAAAUCUCGGAUUGGGAUCCACAAAGUUUGCUAUUAGUUGGAUAAUGUCCUUUCUACAAAGCUGUCCUCCCAUUAUUACUUUUGUGGCCAGUAUUGUGAAACAA
rnacentral:sRNA from 1 species